rnacentral:tRNA from 1 species
GCCGAAGUGGUGAAACUGGAAUACACGCAGCGUUCAGGGCGCUGUGGGAGUAAUCCCUUGUGGGUUCGAAUCCCACCUUCGGCA